rnacentral:rRNA from 1 species
UCAUGGGAGAUGAUUGAAAGAUGGUUUCGGCUAUCACUUACAGAUGGGCCCGCGGUGCAUUAGCUAGUUGGUGAGGUAACGGCUCACCAAGGCAACGAUGCAUAGCCGACCUGAGAGGGUGAUCGGCCACACUGGGACUGAGACACGGCCCAGACUCCUACGGGAGGCAGCAGUAGGGAAUCUUCCGCAAUGGACGAAAGUCUGACGGAGCAACGCCGCGUGAGUGAUGAAGGCUUUCGGGUCGUAAAACUCUGUUGUUAGGGAAGAACAAGUACGAGAGUAACUGCUCGUACCUUGACGGUACCUAACCAGAAAGCCACGGCUAACUACGUGCCAGCAGCCGCGGUAAUACGUAGGUGGCAAGCGUUAUCCGGAAUUAUUGGGCGUAAAGCGCGCGCAGGCGGUUUCUUAAGUCUGAUGUGAAAGCCCACGGCUCAACCGUGGAGGGUCAUUGGAAACUGGGGAACUCGAGUGCAGAAGAGAAAAGCGGAAUUCCACGUGUAGCGGUGAAAUGCGUAGAGAUGUGGAGGAACACCAGUGGCGAAGGCGGCUUUUUGGUCUGUAACUGACGCUGAGGCGCGAAAGCGUGGGAGCAAACAG